CUGCUGGAGCAGUGCUGGGCUGGUGGUGUCAGCCAGUUACCGCCACUCUGAGCAGCUCUCGGGCUGAGCAGUGCGUUCGUGUGGAGCUCACAGCUCCCUUCCCACCCAGGGCUUGCCAGCAAAACCUCUCCUCCGAAUGCAACGCGGAAAGCAAGCUAACGAGGAGGAGUCUGUCGAGAGGUUAAGCUGUCUCCGCAGAGGUUACAGAUCCUACCCCAAGGCUGUCAGCAGCCUCCCUUCGUAUCUUUGCACAUGGAAACAUGCAAACACUACAGAGGGAGCUGCCAGACUGGCAUCAUCUCAACACUAAGCCCCCAGCAGUUUGCGUUGCCUGGAACAACUUGAAGCAGUCACAGCAGGAAGAUAAAGAGGAAGAGGAGGAGGCUGCGGUGGCAAACUGUCACCUUGCUACAUGUGGGGGCUGUCUCUGCCCAUCCCUGAUCCGAGCCGUUGUACCACGCCGAAGCUUUGCACAGCAAGCUAUGAAACAUAGCCCUAAGGUUCCAAAAUAAACCCCACCGUAAGAAAGUG